GACGAACGCUGGCGGCGUGCUUAACACAUGCAAGUCGAACGGAAAGGCCCUGCUUUUGUGGGGUGCUCGAGUGGCGAACGGGUGAGUAACACGUGAGUAACCUGCCCUUGACUUUGGGCUAACUUCAGGAAACUCGGGCUAAUACCGGAUAGGAGCUCCUGCUCCAUGGUGGGGGUUGGAAAGUUUCGGCGGUUGGGGAUGGACUCGCGGCUUAUCAGCUUGUUGGUGGGGUAGUGGCUUACCAAGGCUUUGACGGGUAGCCGGCAUGAGAGGGUGACCGGCCACAUUGGGACUGGGAUACGGCCCAGACUCCGACGGGAGGCAGCAGUGGGGAAUGUUGUACAAUGGGCGGAAGCCUGAUGCAGCAACGCCGCGGGCGGGAUGACGGCCUUCGGGUUGUAAUCCGCUUUCGCCUGUGAGGAAGCGUGAGUGACGGUAAUGGGUAAAGAAGCACCGGCUAACUACGUG
rnacentral:rRNA from 1 species